UACGUAGGGUGCGAGCGUUAAUCGGAAUUACUGGGCGUAAAGCGUGCGCAGGCGGUUUUGUAAGUCAGAUGUGAAAUCCCCGGGCUUAACCUGGGAACUGCGUUUGAAACUACAAGGCUAGGAGUGUGCAGAGGGGGUGGAAUUCCACAUGUAGCAGUGAAAUGCGUAGAGAUGUGGAGGAACACCGAUGGCGAAGGCAGCCCCCUGGGUUAACACUGACGCUCAGGCACGAAAGCGUGGGGAGCAAACAGG
rnacentral:rRNA from 1 species